AUGGCAAAAAUUGUCUCUUCUUUAUUUCUAUGUCUCUUCCUUAUUUCUAUGCAGUUAUUAUACGAGUUAUGACUUAUGUUCUGCAAUUAAUAUCUUAUGUUUUGUCUUACUGUAUGCAUUUGACAUUUCACCUAGAUUGUUCAAUGGUUGUCUCUGCCUGAUAGACUCUCAACUCUAGCUCCCAAACCCAAGGUCAGGGAGUUGUGUCUCUGUCUGUUGAGACUUGGUGCUCCUUUCUCACAGAUAGUUGGACGUCAGCAAUGCAGGUGUGAGAAAGUAAAAAUCUUCACACACACUGCGACAGGGAGGAGAUGGUGCAUGUAAUUUGAUUGGGUUAGAAACACAUUCCACCCUAGUCGGACAGAGAAGCUAAAAGGCAGAAGCAACUUGAGGAUCGUGGGCUCUUUGCAUCACACCUUCGUGGUGUGUGCACUGAUCUCCCCAGCUGGUUUUUGGUUUGUUGAUGUGCACGAUCAACAUCCAUGCUUUUUAUUUGCUUUCCCCAUUAUUUUUAUUUUCUUUAUUAUUUCAAUAAAUUGCACAAAAGGACAACUCUCUCUCAUCUACUUCUUUAUGGAAAAUUUCCACCACAGAAAUUGGCGUUGUCGGCAGGAUCCCGCGGCAGGUCGUCUGGACGGUGUGACCAGGGAUGAUAGUCCUGAGGACUAGGGUCGCUCAGCCUCCAAACCUCUACAGACAUUCAGAGCUGGGAGGACUGCUCACCCGUCUGGAUCGCCUCUGACGAGAUCCACGAACUCAGAUUCAAACUCAAAUCCUAAUUUGGCUCGGCUCGGUGAGAGAGAUUCCUUUUAAUUUGGGAAAAAACAAAAAGAAAAUAUAACUAGGAAAAGAGAUAAUAAUAUUUCUAAAACGACUAUGUGGCUGAAAACAUCUAAAAUAUAAUAAUUAGGACCAAACAAUUUUUUUUAAUUAAAAAAUUUAAUAUUCGGGUAAAAAUUAAUUAGGUCAAAGUCUGCCCUGGUGGUCGAGACGGUGGUUGCUAAGGGUUGGCUCGUGGGACCGAGCUUGUUUUGUCUGUACUGAGGAUACAGACCAGUGUGCAGAUCUGAGCGCAGUCCAAAGGGUGUGGACAAGGAAAUAAAAGACGGCUUCUGAAAUACGGAGCGCGUUUGCAGGGGGAAGUGGUUUUGAGAUACGAGGGACCCGGGUCUUAGAGGGGCCUGACGGUGAGGGACCACUUCCGAGAACCCUGUCGCUGAUCUGAGCGGUUCCCUUUCUACGGAGACGUCCGUGGAAGAGAAAUUUCGAAAAAAGGUUCCGGCCGGAACACAUAAAAAUCUAAGGCAGGAAACCGCCGGGACUCUGAAAGAUGGGUUCGGGGCGAUCUAAGUCUCCACCACCAGACUGCAGCAUUACAAAAUUAAAAGUAAUUAUAAAAGUAAAAAGUAAAUAUGGUUAUUAGUGCGUUUCAUGUUUCCAUGAGUGGGAAACUGGUUAUGGGUUCAAAAGGAGAAUCGCUUUGUGUAAGGACAUAUGCACCUUAAAAGAAAAAUUAGAGACAAAAGAAAAUACUUGAAAAAGCAAAACUAUCAAAACUAAAGCCCUAAAAGAAACAAAAGAUGAAAGUAACGGAAAGAAAGGAGAUAACAACUCUGGGGAAGAAUUGUUUGCACUCUGCCACACCACACGCACACCACACACACACACAUCAUGUCAAGAUCAAAUGCUCCCACUGUUUCUGCUCUCUAUUCUAAUGCAGAACUGAGCGCGAUGAGGGUAAAUCCGGAUCUGGACUCCUUUCCCACCAUCAGCAGAAGAACCAAAGGAGAAGAAGCGCCGACCAACAACCAGAACAGGGUGGAAGCUCUGACACCACAGCAGCUGGAGGACACAGACCACAGCAUGGACGCCUCAGCGACUCUCACAACGUCUGCAGUCAUCACGUUCUGGGCUCAUCAGAUGAAACAGCUACUACAAGCGUGUGUGUCUGACACAGACACCUGCUUAUGACAAUCAGCAAAGGAAAACAAGGACAGAGCAACAGCAGAGAAGACGUGCUCUGACACAGACACUGGUUGAAACAACAGGAGAGGCUUCAGACGUGAUCGGCCCAAAAGAGCUGCAUGCGAGGAUCCAGGAAAGGUCUGUCAUCGAGGAACAACUGUCCCAUUGAAAGGCUUCACCCACUGGCGCUCACAUCAGACUGAUGGUUGGGGAAGGAGGAAGGUGACGGUUCCUUUUCACGUGACGUACAAGACGGUACCGCAAACACACACAUACAUUCAUACACGCAAUGAAGAAACACGCUUACAGCUGAUACACGCUCAAAUUCAUGUUCAUGCUUAUCUGCUCGCAAUGAAGAAUUGCUUUCUGCUCAAAAAAAUCCCAGGGUGAUUUUAAAAUGAUGACAAACAGCUAAAUGACAACUGCUGCAUGACUUUGCAGUCUGAUGGGUUUAAACUAUUUCAAUUUGCAACAAAUUCAGUAAUAAAAUCCUUCAUGUUUCUAAAAAGGGUUUGUGCACAAUAUAGGUUUGUCUGGCCAGACUAGAAGACUGUAGAAAAACAAAACAGACUGUAGGAAAAAAAAAAAAAAACUAUAGGAAGACUGAGACUGACUGAAACAGACUAUUAAUGACUAUUAAAGGGAAGACGACUAUUAGAGAGAAGUAAUAAUAAUUACUGUACGUACCAGACUAUUAAAGAAAACUUAUUGUUUCACUGUCUUGUGCAACAUCUGACAGAAAGACACCUUAACAUUAAUUGUUGCUUUCAAAUUUAUGCCCAGUUAAAUUUUUAGGAAGAGAUCUCAUGUGUAGUUUAGAUAUUUGAUUGAUUUCCACUCCAGACGGAGUGCAGGUUACAUCAACAGACAUUCUAAAUAAUCCCUCUUUUGUUGGUGUUAACUUCAGCUCAGCUGUGCUCUUAUCAUUGGCUGCUGAGGGGGGGCUGUAACUGAGGCCCUCACACAGGCUGCAUCACAGCUUGUUUAUGAUUUCACACACACACACACACACACACACACUGACAAACUGACCUCAACUUCCCUCUUUUGGGAUGAACACAGGUCUGCGCUUGCGAUUUCUUUUCCUAACGAACAAAAAGAUUUUGAUUUUUAUUCUACAGUUCCACACGUCCCUCUGUUAAAAACAUGAUGGAGACAGAUGACAGGACGUGGGUCCUUUCGUGAACAGAUGUCAACGGGGUGGAGACUGGUGAACGACUUCUGACCCCAUGUGAUGUAUUCACCUACUUUGCAUACUUUAGAAAACUUUUUUUUAUUCUGCCUGUUAUGUGCAGCAAACAGUGAACUUGGUACCUCCACAUUCUAAUGACACACUACAUGCUUUUGUUUUUAUUUUGAUUUUUCAGAGGACGCUCUGACCCAACACUCAGCCUUACAGGAAGCCCUGCUUCCCUGUGGCUCACACACAGACAUGAUGUAGGUUUGAUCAGAGGAUGUGAACCAGUGGUCAUCACACCUAAAUCUGACCACAGACCAUGUAAACAACACCACCCUCUUAAAGGAGCCAAAGAUGGCGUUACUGCAGACACCGCUAAGAUACUGAAACAUUGGAUGCUACAGGCCACAAAGAGCCUGUCUAAAUUACAGUUUGUUCAGACAAAGGUUAUUUUUCUGGGUCAUUGUAAUUACAGCUGAUGGCAAAUCCAUCUCACCCAACAGAGUUAAAGCAAUUUGAAACCUGCCUAAACCGUGCACGUAAAAACAGCUGAUGUCUUUUCUAGGUCUUUGUUCUUAUUGUAGGACCUUCAGUCCUAACUUUACUGUCUUUGAGGCCCCACUCAGGGUUCUGAUGCAGACAUCUUCAUCGUCCACUUCUUGUCUCACGUGGACGUCUGAGGCUGAACAACGUUCACUGACCUCAUGCUUGCUCUUCAGUUGGCUCCUACUUUGGGUCUUCCUGAUCUGACCCUACGUGACCUUUCACUCAAACAGUGGAUGAGAAAUCAGGUUGUACGACUUCUGUUCUUUUGUCCUCAUACUGUGUCUUUGAUUCUUUUGGAAUAGAUCACAUCUUUCUACAGCCUGAUGGCUUAGAUGCAACACCACCUUACUCAACAUGCUGAACAUUAUUAUCAAGAGGUCGUCUUGAAGUCUGGCUCUUUGCUAAGACACUACUCUGCUCAGGCUGCAGAGUUGAUCGCGUUGACUGAAGCUAGUAAACUAGCAGAAGGAGAGACUGUUACCAUCUACAGACUCCACAGAUGCUUGUCACACGUUGGUUCUCUGUGGAAGCAUGGGAAGCUUUGAAGUCUGAUUGCAAACCUAUCUUACAUCAUGAUAAGGUUCUGCUUUGCUGGACGCUGUCCUGCUACAGUACCUACAGCUAAUGCUGUUUGUAACUGUCCCACUCACAACAUCAGUGACGACUUUGUUUCUGCCGACAUGCAGCUGCAGACGCUGCUGCGAAGGUCGCUGCCCAACAACCCCUCCCUCUCCUGAUCCUCGUUUCCUCUCCUCAUCCUUGUUUCCUCUCUCCAACUCUCUCUAUCCUUUCCUUCCUAUCUCCCUGUGCUUUAAACAUUUUCUACCUCACAGGAACGCAGACUCUGGCUGACGCAUGGUUCCACCUGUAGCCACUGAGUCUGGUUUGGGCCUGAUGACACGCCGUGCCACCCAAACACCUUUUCCCCAUAAUUCAGAUUUCCCAACAGGUGAAAGCAGGCGACAGGACCAUUACACCAUCCAACCAGGGCACUGGGUGAUCGUUAAGGAGUUCAGGAGGAAGCACUGGGACUCCAAACGGUGGCGAGGUCCCUUCCAGGUCCUUCUGACGACCCACACGGCUGUGAAGAUCACAGAAAGAGUGACUUGGAUCCACUCCAUCCAGGAAGGUCCCGGAUCCGACAGACGACCCUCCAUCUACACCACACGAGAAAACCACCACUGACGAAAAGAAUUAAGAAGAACGACCCUCGCUGUGCUCACACACGCACUGAGGCGAGGCUGCGUUGACCGUUCAGCUAAAGGUGUGAGCCAAGCGCCGCCUGAAGCUGCGCCGAUGAAUCACACUAUCAGACCAUACAUCUACACACACGUUCCUGAGAAAACACACACACGAGCAGCCUUGAGUUGCCGACGCUGGACGACGUGUAGACUCUUCACAUCACGGGAGUGACAGUGACUCAGACGACAUUGGGAGGAAACCUGGCGGUGAUAACGAACCCCAAGUGUCUCUGUGAUCAGCUGAUCACAACCUGAAGAACCCCAACGAACUGUCAAUACUUCAACACACAGAUGAAAGACAACAGAAGCGGAAAUAUGCAUCAUCAUUCUGGUUAAAUCCCUGAAUCUCCUAUUCGCUCUAGACGCAAAUGUACAAUUAAAGAUCUGAAAGCAUUAAAUCUAUCUUAAGAAUAUAUGAAACAGAACCCCACCGGAAACCUAUGUCUAUCAUACAUUAAUUGUCUUUAUUACAUUACAAUUGAAUGGCCAUAGACACGUUGUUAGCAGAGAAAAGAGGCGUUUGUGUUAUGUUUGGAGACGCAUGUUGUACUUACAUCCUGAAUAACACUGAUUCUAAUGGUAUUGUGGCGAAGGCGCUACACGGCCGUCAGAAUCUCAGCUAACUCUGGUAUAGAUUCUUCCUCUUGGAAUUGGCUAGACGAAAUGUCUGGAAAAUGGAAAUCUGUUCUCAUGUCCGCAGCUGUUUCCUUUAUCAUUGAGAUGGCUGUGAUUCUCUUGUUUGGUUUUUGCGUUAUCCCACUGGUUAGAGGUCUCAUCAUGCGUGCGACCUCAGCAACACUCGUAUCAAAUGACACAAUGCACUAUGUUCAAAAAUCCCAACUCUAAUUCACUUAAUAACUUUGACGAUUGUCUUAGGCUAUCUGAUCACAAAAUAUAAUCUGAUACAAAUAUGAUUAUUGACUUAUUUUCUUCACAUGCUCAUACAGAGGUUAUUCUUGUAUAACUACCCACCAAAAACUGCUCCCAAUCUUUUGUCCCUAAGUUACUUGCAUUUUAUGUGAAGGUGUAUUUUGAAUCUUGAUGAGUUAAUACCCUAUUGUUUCAUUUGCAAGGAUCUUUUAUUAUUACAGAAUGUGAUGUUGACAAUUUUUCUUCUUAGUGGUUGAUUAAUGUGUAAUCAAAAGGGGGGAGUGUUAUGGCAAAAAUUGUCUCUUCUUUAUUUCUAUGUCUCUUCCUUAUUUCUAUGCAGUUAUUAUACGAGUUAUGACUUAUGUUCUGCAAUUAAUAUCUUAUGUUUUGUCUUACUGUAUGCAUUUGACAUUUCACCUAGAUUGUUCAAUGGUUGUCUCUGCCUGAUAGACUCUCAACUCUAGCUCCCAAACCCAAGGUCAGGGAGUUGUGUCUCUGUCUGUUGAGACUUGGUGCUCCUUUCUCACAGAUAGUUGGACGUCAGCAAUGCAGGUGUGAGAAAGUAAAAAUCUUCACACACACUGCGACAGGGAGGAGAUGGUGCAUGUAAUUUGAUUGGGUUAGAAACACAUUCCACCCUAGUCGGACAGAGAAGCUAAAAGGCAGAAGCAACUUGAGGAUCGUGGGCUCUUUGCAUCACACCUUCGUGGUGUGUGCACUGAUCUCCCCAGCUGGUUUUUGGUUUGUUGAUGUGCACGAUCAACAUCCAUGCUUUUUAUUUGCUUUCCCCAUUAUUUUUAUUUUCUUUAUUAUUUCAAUAAAUUGCACAAAAGGACAA